AGUGAACGCUGGCGGUAGGCCUAACACAUGCAAGUCGAACGGCAGCACAGUAAGAGCUUGCUCUUACGGGUGGCGAGUGGCGGACGGGUGAGGAAUACAUCGGAAUCUACUUUUUCGUGGGGGAUAACGUAGGGAAAGUUAAGAUAAUAUCGCAUACGACACAGGGGUGAAAGCAGGGGAUCUUCGGCGCUUUCGCGAUUGAAUGAGCCGAUGUCGGACUAGCUAGUUGGCGGGGUAAAGGCCCAGCAAGGCGUGGAUCCGUAGCUGGAGUGAGAGAAUGAUCAGCCACACUGGAGCUGAGACACGGUCCAGGCUCCUACGGGAGGCAGCAGUGGGGAAUGUUGGACAGUGGUCGCGAGCCUGGUCCAACCAUACCACGUCGGAGGAAGAGGCCUUCGGGUUGUAAAGCCCUUUUUUUGGGAAAAAAAAGCAGCAGGUUGAUACGCCGCUGUUCUGACGGUACCCGAAAAAUAAGCACCGGCUAACUACGUG
rnacentral:rRNA from 1 species